UACGUAGGGGCCUAGCGUUGUCCGGAUUUAUUGGGCGUAAAGAGCUCGUAGGCGGUUCGGUAAGUCAGGUGUGAAAUCUCCACGCUCAACGUGGAGGCGCCACCUGAAACUGCCGUGACUCGAGUCCGGUAGGGGAGUGUGGAAUUCCUGGUGUAGCGGUGAAAUGCGUAGAUAUCGGGAGGAACACCUGUGGCGAAAGCGGCUCACUGGACCAUAACUGACGCUGAUGCACGAAAGCUGGGGGAGCAAACAGG
rnacentral:rRNA from 1 species